UACAGAGACUGCAAGCGUUAUUCGGAUUCACUGGGCGUAAAGGGUCGCGCAGGCGGCCGAGUGUGUGAGGCGUGAAAGCCCGGGGCUUAACCCCGGAAUUGCACCUCAAACUACACGGCUAGAGCAUUGGAGAGGGUAGCAGAAUUCAUGGUGUAGCAGUGAAAUGCGUAGAUAUCAUGAGGAAUACCAGAGGCGAAGGCGGCUACCUGGACAAUUGCUGACGCUCAGGCACGAAAGCGUGGGGAGCAAAAGGG
rnacentral:rRNA from 1 species